CUAGUAGUGGGGGAUAGCUCGGGGAAACUCGAAUUAAUACCGCAUACGACCUACGGGAGAAAGGGGGCAACUUGUUGCUCUCGCUAUUAGAUGAGCCUAAGUCGGAUUAGCUAGAUGGUGGGGUAAAGGCCUACCAUGGCGACGAUCUGUAGCUGGUCUGAGAGGAUGAUCAGCCACACCGGGACUGAGACACGGCCCGGACUCCUACGGGAGGCAGCAGUGGGGAAUAUUGGACAAUGGGGGCAACCCUGAUCCAGCCAUGCCGCGUGUGUGAAGAAGGCCUUUUGGUUGUAAAGCACUUUAAGCAGUGAAGAAGACUCCAUGGUUAAUACCCAUGGACGAUGACAUUAGCUGCAGAAUAAGCACCGGCUAACUCUGUGCCAGCAGCCGCGGUAAUACAGAGGGUGCAAGCGUUAAUCGGAAUUACUGGGCGUAAAGCGAGCGUAGGUGGCUUGAUAAGUCAGAUGUGAAAUCCCCGGGCUUAACCUGGGAACUGCAUCUGAUACUGUUAGGCUAGAAUAGGUGAGAGGAAGGUAGAAUUCCAGGUGUAGCGGUGAAAUGCGUAGAGAUCUGGAGGAAUACCGAUGGCGNAAGGCAGCCUUCUGGCAUCAUAUUGACACUGAGGUUCGAAAGCGUGGGUAGCAAACAGGAUUAGAUACCCUGGUAGUCCACGCCGUAAACGAUGUCUACUAGUCGUUGGGUCCCUUGAGGACUUAGUGACGCAGCUAACGCAAUAAGUAGACCGCCUGGGGAGUACGGCCGCAAGGUUAAAACUCAAAUGAAUUGACGGGGGCCCGCACAAGCGGUGGAGCAUGUGGUUUAAUUCGAUGCAACGCGAAGAACCUUACCUGGUCUUGACAUAUCUAGAAUCCUGCAGAGAUGCGGGAGUGCCUUCGGGAAUUAGAAUACAGGUGCUGCAUGGCUGUCGUCAGCUCGUGUCGUGAGAUGUUGGGUUAAGUCCCGCAACGAGCGCAACCCUUGUCCUUAGUUACCAGCGGGUUAAGCCGGGAACUCUAAGGAUACUGCCAGUGACAAACUGGAGGAAGGCGGGGACGACGUCAAGUCAUCAUGGCCCUUACGACCAGGGCUACACACGUGCUACAAUGGUAGGUACAGAGGGCAGCUACACAGCGAUGUGAUGCGAAUCUCAAAAAGCCUAUCGUAGUCCAGAUUGGAGUCUGCAACUCGACUCCAUGAAGUAGGAAUCGCUAGUAAUCGCGGAUCAGAA
rnacentral:rRNA from 1 species